UAACGCGUAGGUAACCUACCUCAUAGCGGGGGAUAACUAUUGGAAACGAUAGCUAAUACCGCAUAAGAGAGACUAACGCAUGUUAGUAAUUUAAAAGGGGCAAUUGAUCCACUAUGAGAUGGACCUGCGUUGUAUUAGCUAGUUGGUGAGGUAAAGGCUCACCAAGGCGACGAUACAUAGCCGACAUGAGAGGGUGAUCGGCCACACUGGGACUGAGACACGGCCCAG
rnacentral:rRNA from 1 species